rnacentral:rRNA from 1 species
AGUGAACGCUGGCGGUAGGCCUAACACAUGCAAGUCGAACGGCAGCACAGUAAGAGCUUGCUCUUACGGGUGGCGAGUGGCGGACGGGUGAGGAAUACAUCGGAAUCUACUUUUUCGUGGGGGAUAACGUAGGGAAACUUACGCUAAUACCGCAUACGACCUACGGGUGAAAGCAGGGGGUCUUCGGACCUUGCGCGAUUGAAUGAGCCGAUGUCGGAUUAGCUAGUUGGCGGGGUAAAGGCCCACCAAGGCGACGAUCCGUAGCUGGUCUGAGAGGAUGAUCAGCCACACUGGAACUGAGACACGGUCCAGACUCCUACGGGAGGCAGCAGUGGGGAAUAUUGGACAAUGGGCGCAAGCCUGAUCCAGCCAUACCGCGUGGGUGAAGAAGGCCUUCGGGUUGUAAAGCCCUUUUGUUGGGAAAGAAAAGCAGCAGGUUAAUACCCCGCUGUUCUGACGGUACCCAAAGAAUAAGCACCGGCGAACUUCGU